rnacentral:rRNA from 1 species
UACGUAGGGGGCUAGCGUUGUCCGGAAUUACUGGGCGUAAAGCGCACGUAGGCGGGUUGUUAAGUCGGGGGUGAAAUCCUGGAGCUCAACUCCAGAACUGCCUUCGAAACUGACGAUCUUGAGUUCGGGAGAGGUGAGUGGAACUGCGAGUGUAGAGGUGAAAUUCGUAGAUAUUCGCAAGAACACCAGUGGCGAAGGCGGCUCACUGGCCCGAUACUGACGCUGAGGUGCGAAAGCGUGGGGAGCAAACAGG